rnacentral:rRNA from 1 species
CUUUGAGACAAGCAUGUGUAAGUUCACACUGAUUAACAGUAAAACUGCGGACGGCUCAUUACAACAGUACUAACCUAUUUGGAUGUUCAACGCUAAAAGGAUAACUGCCGCAAUUCGGGAGCUAAUACUUGCUAAAAGCGUCGCAAGACGUGUUUUUCCUUUCCUUAAAUCGAUCACCUAUGGUGUCUUCUGAGGAGUCGAGGGAACUUAACGGACCGCAUUCUUCGGAGGCGGUCGUCCAUUCGGAGUACUGACUUAUCAAAUGUCGAUGGUUCGGUAUUGGCGAACCAUGUUGGUAACGAGUAACGGGGAAUCAGGGUUCGAUUCCGGAGAGGCAGCCUGAGAAACGGCUGGCACAUCUAAGGAAGGCAGCAGGCGCGUAAAUUACCCAUUGCAGACUCUGCGAGGUAGUGACAAGAAAUAACGAGGCGUUGAUCCUAGUGAUCGUCGCUGUCGGAAUGAGAGCAGUUUAAAAUGCUCAUCGAGUAUCAAUUGAAGGGAAAGUCUGGUGCCAGCAGCCGCGGUAAUUCCAGCUUCAAUAGCGUAUACUUAAGUUGUUGUGGUUGAAGAGCUCGUAGUCGUAACUCUGGAUUAUCAACUUGUAGUGGGCGUCGCUUCGGUGGUGCUCACUUUAGGAGUUUGGUAUCCUCAUUUUGACGUUUGGGUGCGGGUGUCAUUAACUUGACGUCCGUAAACUGCGUCGAUUUUACCUUGAAUAAAUCGGAGUGCUCAAAGCAGGCUCUAAUGCUUGAACGAUUGUGCAUGGGAUAAUGGAACAGGGCGUCUCCGCCCUUACAUUGGUUUAAGUGGAGACGUAAUGAUAGAUAGGAACGGACGGCGUGAUUCGUACGAGAGGGUGAAAGGUGAAAUUUUUAGAUCCUUCUCAGACGAGCGGAUGCGAAGGCGUUUCACGAGAACGUUUUCAUUGAUCAAGAGCGAAAGAAGCAGGUUCGAAAACGAUUAGAUACCGUUGUAGUUGCUUCCGUAAACGAUUUAGACUUGCGAUAGGCAAGGGUUGUUAAUAACCUUGUCUGCAGCUUCCGGGAAACCAAAGUGUUUGUAGCCCAGGGGGAGUAUGGUUGCAAAGCUGAAACUUAAAGAAAUUGACGGAAGGGCACCACCAGGCGUGGAGCCUGCGGCUUAAUUUGACUCAACACGGGACAACUUGCCCGGCCCGGACACAGGAAUGAUUGACAGAUUGAGAGCUCUUUCUUGAUUCUGUGGGUGGUGGUGCAUGGCCGUUCUUAGUCGGUGGAGUGAUUUGUCUGGUUAAUUCCGAUAACGGACGAGACUCUGACAUGCUAACUAGUUUCGCUUGCUACCUUUUAGGUCAGGUGGGAACUUCUUAGAUGGAUUGGCGCCUUUUUGAAUGCGCAUGAAAUAGAGCUAUAACAGGUCUGUGAUGCCCUUAGAUGUUCGGGACCGCACGCGCGCUACAAUG